rnacentral:rRNA from 1 species
GACAGAGGGUGCAAACGUUGCUCGGAAUCACUGGGCGUAAAGGGCGUGUAGGCGGGUAGAUAAGUCGGGCGUGAAAUCCCACGGCUCAACCGUGGAAGUGCACUCGAAACUGCGCAGCUAGAGUCCUGGAGAGGAAGGUGGAAUGCUUGGUGUAGAGGUGAAAUUCGUAGAUAUCAAGCGGAACACCGGUGGCGAAGGCGGCUCACUGGCCCGGAACUGACGCUGAGGUGGCGAAA